UUGAAUGUAGUAUACCGGGUAAAAGAGGGCAAGGGAGAAAUAGCGGCGCGCACAUAUACGAGAAGCAGCACACAAAAUACUCGCAUAGAAGCCCGUGUAUAAAAAAAAAACGAAACGUAGAGCAGAGACAAAAUCGGGCAUCGAGCAGAGGGUGCGGCGUGGAUAUCGCUGAGGAGACGAAACAACUAGAGGAGAGAACCUCGUGUUUGACGUACGCGCAGUAUCGAGGAAGUGUGUCCAUGGAGAGACGUCGGUCGUCGAACGAAUGCAACGGCGGCGAACGAAGGCAGCGCGGAUCGGAGGAAUAUGGAGGGACGCGCGAUACACACAUAUACACACGCACACGAUUGUAGGCGAUACGCACGCACGGCUCGUACCAACACAAUGGUGACAAAAACGGCCGUAACGACGAGGAGGGCGCUCAAGCGCGGGGAAGGGCGUGCGGGGUGAGGGUACGGGGCGCGAGCACGGGCGCGAGCUAUAAACUUGCGCGCACAUUCAUUCGUUACACACUUACUUCACCUACACACACGACGCACAACCGCGUAUUCGCGGCUUCACGAAAUUGUAAUAUAUAAAAGGACAUACCCCCGACACGGCUUCCGCGUCUUGAAAUACAGCGCGUUCAAUUAUUUUUUUUAUUCUCGCGCGGUUAUAAUAAUAUUUAUGGUGUCGUUUUGAGAGACAAGAUAGUCUUGCGUUUGGGACUUGGGACGCAUGUUCGGCUCAGAUAUCAAGCUCUUUCCAGAAAAUUGUCGAUUGCGAAACGGAUAAGAAACGAAGGAAAGCUCGGGGAAAGGUAGUGAUAAAGAGGGCAAUGAAUUGUGGACAGUCAUCGAUGAUGAAUUAUUGUCAUAGAGGCAGGAGACAUGGAGACAAUCGAUGUGAAACUUGGCAAAUCCGUGAGUCUUGCUGUGUUUUGUGGAGAGAAAAGCAUCAAUAAAGAUCAUUCCUCUUCCAAAGCCGCCCUCCCUGUCCCCCUUGCCUAACUAUACAAGACCGGGCUCUCACCUCUGUAUAGCGGCUGAUACGCUGUUACAUUGGCGGACACAUAAUGGCGGAAUUCUCUUCCAAACAUUUGGUCCCAAAGUUAUAUGACAGUUAAUGAAAUUACAUGAUAGCAAGAAAAGCGUA